UACGUAGGGCGCGAGCGUUGUCCGGAAUUAUUGGGCGUAAAGAGCUCGUAGGCGGCCUGUUGCGUCCGCUGUGAAAGCCCGGGGCUUAACCCCGGGUCGGCAGUGGAUACGGGCAGGCUAGAGGUAGGUAGGGGAGAAUGGAAUUCCCGGUGUAGCGGUGAAAUGCGCAGAUAUCAGGAGGAACACCGGUGGCGAAGGCGGGUCUCUGGGCCGAUACUGACGCUGAGGAGCGAAAGCGUGGGGAGCGAACAGG
rnacentral:rRNA from 1 species